ensembl:lncRNA
CAUAAGAUAUAUAUAUUGAUUUGUCCCACUCUUGUUGUAGUAGGCGUCUUGCGGGGGCACGGGAUGUACGGGACAGGCCUCUCCCUAAACAUAGAGAGAUAGUGCUAUCGUGCUGACCUUGUUGCAGAGAAAACAGGAGAAGAAGAAGGAUGAUAAAAGAAUGUGGAAACGGCCAAAUAAGGCACAAUGUUAUCUGGUGUGAACUAAUCAGAGUGGGACAUGACAGCACGGUUAUCUAGGUAAAAAUGUAUAUAAGCUGUGUUUAGUAGUGAAUAAACGCCAUUUGCCUCACUUACUCCUGGGGUCUGGGUGAGCAUCUGGCCCCGACCUGGUAAAGGGUCGGUUUCGCCCAGCAGUAAGCCCUACAUGUGGACAGAGGACGAACACCGGAUGAGCGAACGGAGACUACAUGCAACAAGUGGUGACCCCGACGUGAUCUGUCUGCUGAGGGUGGCUGCCCGGCGUGCCCGUGACGCGGAGAAGAGCCUGUGAGGUGGCGGCAGGUCGCGCACGGAAGACGUAUUGCGGUUAAGAGCCUGCGAGGUGGCGGCAGGUCGCAUACGUAACAAUGGACCAAGUCAUUAAGGUACUUGUGCAGUUUUGUAAGGACUACUGUGGAAAAUCUGCUCCUUCCCGGAAGGAGAUCGCGGCAGUUUUGUCGCUGUUAAAUGAGCUGGGGGAGCUGGACUCUCCCCGCUACGUUUUGGAUUCGAGUAGGUGGGACUUGCUCACCUCGGCGCUAUGCCAGCGCGCCAUGGCCAGUCAGAAGGCUACGGAACUUAAAACGUGGGGACUGAUAUUAGGAGCCCUUAAAGCGGCCAGAGUUGAGGGAAAGGUAUUGGUGGAGGCUCGAUACCUUUUGGGUCUCAGCGGAGGAGGUGAGACACAGGACCCGGUCGGGUCCGAUGGGGGUUUGGGAGCAGUUUCUUGCAGGGGCCGAGAGGAGACGGAGCCGCCAAUGACCGUUGGCGAAAUGGCGCCGGCUGAGCCGACCGCGCUCAGUUCAAAAGAAGACAAACAACAAGAGAGUGAAAGUUCGUUGUCUCGUCCCCCUCCCCCGUAUCCAAACCCCUCAGGCGGAACGUUGUAUCCUUUAUCAGAAUUACGUCAGUGUUACCUGACUCAAGGGGGCGAAGGAAGCUGUGAUCUACAUGGGCAGGAUCAACUUAGUGCCCACAUGGGGAGGGACCAGACAAAAGGUCCGUCCAAAGCGGACAGGGGGCAUAGCCUACUGUCUCUGGUCACUCCCAGGGGCGGUAGUGCGAGUGAUAGUGUAGAAGAGAAAGAAGGGACUGGCUUUGAGUGCAGGGGGAGGGAUCAAAUGACGGACUGGAAUGGGAUUAGAUCGGAGGCUUUGGGAAAGGGUAUAGUUCCAGAGGCAUUCCGGGUGAUUGUGAGUGAUCGUGGUCCCGAAUGGGUGCCGCCUGACCCCGGGGGUGUUACGCGCCUGGUGGAAUUUAUGGAUAAAAGAGGCCUGAAAUCGCCUCUGACAUUAAAUGCACUACAAACUUUGGCUGCACUGGGGCCUCUCCUCCCCCGUGACAUCACAAACUUAAUGCGUACGGUGCUCAGGCUGGUUCAAUAUACGUUAUGGGAGACGGACUGGGUGGCCGAGUUGGGGGGCCGUGCCGGGGCGACAGGGGUCGGCCCGCGCCGCUCCCUGCAUGGGACCGGAAUACAGCGGCUUUCAGGGAAGGCCGUGGGAGUGGCUUCGCCCCAGGGCCAGCUAGCGAGACUAAGGCCAGGGGAGCUAAUAGCAGCCACAGAUGCAGUGGUGGAAGCGUUUAAUAAACUUGUGCAUAAGGCCGAACCACCUACUCCGUGCACAGAUAUUACCCAGGGCCCGAAUGAAUCCUUUCAAAGCUUUACAGACAGGCUUUUAGCUGCUGCAGAGGGGUCUGAUCUCCUGGUACCGGCCCAAGGGCCAGUGAUCAUUGACUGCUUGCAGCAGAAAUCGCAUGACAAUGUUAAGGCAUUGCUGCGAGCCGGCCGAAGUACGCUUAAUACCUCGGGAGCCGGCCGAAGUACGCUUAAUACCUCGGGAGAAGUUAUUCAGUAUGUCUUAGAUAAGCUCAAGGUGACUCAUUUAACUAAUGAAAGGCUAGUCACAGCUAUUGUCGUAGCUGUUGGCCCGCGGCAGCAAAGAUCGCUGCAGCAGCAAGGGCUGUGUUUCCGAUACGGCCAGUAUGGCCAUGUUAGAGCACAAUGCCCCUGUGGGGGAGGCCAGUCAGGGCCUCCUGAUCACAGGAAGGGCUUGCUGAAGGGUAUCCGUGGUCGGGUAUGCAGCAGUUAAAUAUCAUGAAUCUGGGAAAUUCUGUGGGUACCAUCGCGAAAAGUAAUACCAGAUAUAAGUAGAAUAUCUGCAAAAACUGAGUCUAGGUGCGAGUUUUCUACAGAAAUUCUUCGUUGGCAGACCGAAGCCAACUCCAGAACAACUGAGGGACAGACGAUGGGAUCAAGAACCAUUCGUCAAGAGGAGCACUACACCUGCAACGCUGACACUUCCGAUGUUGCUGAUAUUUAUGGUGUCCAUGGCGAUUACAGAGUGUCACAAACAACUACAAUGGACACAAGAACAUAUGCAGAAGAUUAAAGAAGAGCGUGAUCCCUUUGGAAGCUGGCUGGACGGACUGUUUGGGGGAACGGGUUCAUGGUUAAAGCAAUUGCUUAAAGCUCUCGCAGUAGGAUUUGCAAUCUUUGUGUGUAUUCUAAUCUGUCUUCCAUGCUUUGUAGGAUGCUUGCCUUCAACGAAUGAUGGAAAAGACUUUUGACUAUCACAUUGAGUAUCAUAGAUUGCGUGAAAAAUUAUAGAGGGGUUUAGGUUGUUGCGUUCGUGCUGUAACGGGGCAAGGCUUGGCCGAGCACGGAAAAGAAUUCCCUGUUGCUCUGAUGAUUGCUUAAGAACUGUAGUAGAAAAUAGUAGGAAUAGUGUGCUGAAAUAUAUUUAGGAUUAGGCGUUUUGCGCUGCUUCGCGAUGUACGGGUUAGGUGUGUGUGUAAGUAGUAUUUAGCUUAGGGAGGGGGAGAUGUUGUAGUAGGCGUCUUGCGGGGGCACGGGAUGUACGGGACAGGCCUCUCCCUAAACAUAGAGAGAUAGUGCUAUCGUGCUGACCUUGUUGCAGAGAAAACAGGAGAAGAAGAAGGAUGAUAAAAGAAUGUGGAAACGGCCAAAUAAGGCACAAUGUUAUCUGGUGUGAACUAAUCAGAGUGGGACAUGACAGCACGGUUAUCUAGGUAAAAAUGUAUAUAAGCUGUGUUUAGUAGUGAAUAAACGCCAUUUGCCUCACUUACUCCUGGGGUCUGGGUGAGCAUCUGGCCCCGACCUGGUAAAGGGUCGGUUUCGCCCAGCAGUAAGCCCUACAUGUGGACAGAGGACGAACACCGGAUGAGCGAACGGAGACUACAUGCAACACACUCUGGAUACAUUUUUUCUUCUAAAUGCAUGUCACUAUUUUGUGCAUCAAGAGCAGGUUUUAUAAUCCACUUGCUUCUGAUAGACAAAACUGUUCUCAUGUAGUUUCAUUGAUUUCAAGGAAGUUUAAUGUCUUCUUUAUGUAAAUGUAAAUAACUGAACAAGUUUUAGCUCUGGUAGCUGAAAUAUUUUCAGUGCUCAGUUAAGGGAACAAAAAAAAGUUGAUCUUUCUCAUUUUUAGGAUUGUGACAUAGGCAGGAACAAAUAGUUCAAAAAUAGAGAGCAGGGCAUUCUGAAGAAAGACAUAGAAGUAACUUUUAGUGGGUUUUUGUUUGUUUUUGUUACUUUUUGUAUUAUUUAUAAGAUACUUUUUUUCUACUUUUUUCUGGGUUUCAUCUGUUGGUUGAAUCAUUAAUAAAAGUAAAGCUUUGAUAUCUUUACUGAUAGUCACAUAUGGAAUCAAGUCACCUUUGAAAAUAGAAUUAUGAAGUUUACAUAAAUAAUAUUUAAUUUUUUUUUUGUUUGAAUCUUUUGUUGUUUUUGUUGUUUUCACUUCCAUGCUCUUUUUGUGUUGUUGUUUUCAGUUAUUAAAAUGUUCUUUUCUUAAUAGCACCUUACAUAUCAUUAGGAAAAAAAAAAACAUACAUUAAUAGCAAAGGCGUGCUAACUCAUAGUAGCACCCACAAAUUUCUCAGCUAUUGAUAACAGCCCAUACGGAAUAUAUUACUUGGUUUAGGGAGAAGAUUAAGAGGAAGCUAGUUAGACUAUCUGCUAUUUGGUUCUUCAUCUUGCAUUUGCAAGAUGACCCCUUUUUAAAGGGCUCUAUUAUCAAUGGAUGAAAAAGGAAGCUUUUCUUCUUUCCAAUCUGAGAUCCUCAUUUAGGCACUUCAGCUAAUUUCCUAAAGAUAGGUGGAUUGUUACAACCUCAGAAUGAGUAGUAUAACUCUUUCAUUUCUGUUCCACAGUUUGUACAUCUUUAAAAAGAAUGUUAAUUGCCUGGACCAGAAAUAUAGGUGAUUGACUUCUUAAAAGAUCUGGUUUUGGAUGCUGUGUCCGAAAGUCAGUACAUAAAUCUACAUCUAGGAAACUAAAAAUGAUUUGGCUUUCAGAGUGCUGAAUCACUUCAGAAACCUGGGACUGCAUACCUUACUUUAUUUAGUGUAGCUGUACAUGUAUAAAAAGAUGCCUGUCCAUUGGAAGACACAGAUGUCAACAGUAAAUACUGGAAAGUGUUGCAAACACAAAUUGACAUCUAAACCCCUCGAUUUACAGUCAAGAUACUGAUAUUGCUGUUUAUAAAAAUAAUCUAUGUGCUCUUUUUCAAUAUCUAUUUUUCAUCAAAUGGGGUAAAACUGUAAGUUGUUUGGAAUUUACUGAAGCAAAAAAUAUUUUAAAUGCUUUUUUCUUUAAAAUAACCAUUUCUAUUUCCCUAAGCAAAA